rnacentral:rRNA from 1 species
UACGGAGGGUGCAAGCGUUAUCCGGAUUUAUUGGGUUUAAAGGGUCCGUAGGCGGACUCGUAAGUCAGUGGUGAAAUCUCAUAGCUUAACUAUGAAACUGCCAUUGAUACUGCGGGUCUUGAGUAAGGUAGAGGUAGCUGGAAUAAGUAGUGUAGCGGUGAAAUGCAUAGAUAUUACUUAGAACACCAAUUGCGAAGGCAGGUUACCAUGUCUUAACUGACGCUGAGGCGCGAAAGCGUGGGGAGCAAACAGG